UACGGGGGGGGCAAGCGUUGUUCGGAAUUACUGGGCGUAAAGGGCUCGUAGGCGGCCAACUAAGUCAGACGUGAAAUCCCUCGGCUUAACCGGGGAACCGCGUCUGUUACUGGAUGGCUUGAGUUUGGGAGAGGGAUGCGGAAUUCCAGGUGUAGCGGUGAAAUGCGUAGAUAUCUGGAGGAACACCGGUGGCGAAGGCGGCAUCCUGGACCAACACUGACACUGAUGAGCGAAAGCCAGGGGAGCAAACGGG
rnacentral:rRNA from 1 species